AAAGAUUAUUUAACGGCCGCAGUAUUUUGACUGUGCUAAGGUAGCAUAAUAGCUUGUCUCUUAAUUAGAGUCUAGAAUAAAGGAUCUUAUAGGCUUAAACUUUUUUCUCUUAUUAAAUUAAAUUUAAUUAUUGAGUGAAAAGGCUCAAAUAAACAAAAAAGACGAUAAGACCCUAUAAAACUUAAUCACAAAAGAUUUUCAUAGAUAAUUUUAUUAUAAUCGUUGUAAAUAAGGAGUAAUUAGGUUGGGGCGACUAUAAUUAAACAUUAAACAUUUUAACGCAUAAUGACUAAAAUCAACUGACUUUUGACCCUUCAAAGAUUAAUUGACAAAGUUACUUUAGGGAUAACAGCGUAAUUUUUUUGGAGAGCUCUUAUCGAUAAAAAA
rnacentral:rRNA from 1 species